GAUGAACGCUAGCUACAGGCUUAACACAUGCAAGUCGCAGGGUAACAUGAGGAAAGCUUGCUUUCCUUGAUGACGACUGGCGCACGGGUGAGUAACGCGUAUCCAACCUUCCCAUAACUACGGGAUAACCCGUUGAAAGACGGCCUAAUACCGUAUGACAUCGUUUGCUGACAUCAAAUAACGAUUAAAGGUUUAGCGGUUAUGGAUGGGGAUGCGUCUGAUUAGCUUGUUGGCGGGGUAACGGCCCACC
rnacentral:rRNA from 1 species